CCUACGGGAGGCAGCAGUGAGGAAUAUUGGUCAAUGGCCGGAAGGCUGAACCAGCCAAGCCGCGUGAAGGACGAAGGUGCCAAGCAUUGUAAACUUCUUUUGUCAAGGGACAAAAUCAGCCUCGAGAGCCUGUCCGAGGGUACUUGAAGAAAAAGCAUCGGCUAACUCCGUGCCGGCCGCCGGGGUAAUAGGGGGGAUGGCAGCGUUAUCCGGGUUUUUUGGGUUUAAAGGGUGCGUAGGCGGGCUGUUAAGUCAGCGGUAAAAGCCCGGGGCUCAACCCCGGCGAGCCGUUGAAACUGGCUGUCUUGAGAUGUCGAGAGGUAUGCGGAAUGCGCAGUGUAGCGGUGAAAUGCUUAGAUAUUGCGCAGAACUCCGAUUGCGAAGGCAGCAUACCGGCGGCGAUCUGACGCUGAGGCACGAAAGCGUGGGUAUCGAACAGGAUUAGAUACCCGGGUAGUC
rnacentral:rRNA from 1 species